AUAUGGAUUUAUGCCCCACACCAAAGGGCCUUCUAUGGAGGCACUUCAGCCAGCUCCCAGGGAGGGGAAAUCAUGGAGUGGAAAUGCUGAUGCUUCCUUCUUUGACACUUCCUUCAGGUUUCCACUCCUUUAUACUCCCCUCUGACUACAAAAGAGAAGCAGCAGCUUCAAAGAUUGACAUCCAAAGGCUACUGGAGUAGAUGGACCCCUGGAUUGGCAUAGCAUCCACUACAGCAAUUCCUAUGUUCCUGCAUUCCAACAUUUCUAAUUUCUUUUCAGCUAAAUGUAUUGUUUGAAGACAUUGAAGAAUUGAUCCUCAUGUCCUUCCUUAAGCAAAACUUCCAUUGAUGUCAAGGAGCACAAGACAACACUCUGUUUAAAUCAGAAAAACAACCACCACCCCUGAUGAACUUCCAUUGAUGUCAAGGAGCACAAGACAACACUCUGAGUCUGAGAACCCUGAUUUAAACAAUGUGCCUUAGGGCCACUGCCAGUCCUCAAAUCCUCCCAGUGGGCC